rnacentral:tRNA from 1 species
UGCGGGGUGGAGCAGUCUGGUAGCUCGUCGGGCUCAUAACCCGGAGGUCGUAGGUUCAAAUCCUGCCCCCGCGACCA